rnacentral:rRNA from 1 species
CAGUAGCCACGGGAAUACGUAGGUGGCAAGCGUUGUCCGGAAUUAUUGGGCGUAAAGCGCGCGCAGGCGGAUCAGUCAGUCUGUCUUAAAAGUUCGGGGCUUAACCCCGUGAUGGGAUGGAAACUGCUGAUCUAGAGUAUCGGAGAGGAAAGUGGAAUUCCUAGUGUAGCGGUGAAAUGCGUAGAUAUUAGGAAGAACACCAGUGGCGAAGGCGACUUUCUGGACGAAAACUGACGCUGAGGCGCGAAAGCCAGGGGAGCGAACGGGAUUAGAUACCCCAGUAGUCCCUGUCUCUUAUACA